UAGUGAAAAAAUUUAGUUAAGUUAUAACAUUAGU
rnacentral:tRNA from 1 species